rnacentral:rRNA from 1 species
GCCAAACAGCUAGCUCGACCCAAAGAACUAAAUUUUAAGUAUAAACAACUCUACAGAAAAGAAAAACCCAAACUAAACCAUUCGACCACCCCAGUAUGGGCGACAGAAAAGGAACAAUGAAGCCAU